rnacentral:rRNA from 1 species
CCUACGGGUGGCAGCAGUGAGGGAUAUUGGACAAUGGCGGGAAGGCUGAACCAGCCAAGCCGCGUGAAGGACGAAGGUGCCAAGCAUUGUAAACUUCUUUUGUCAAGGGACAAAAUGAGGCUCGAGAGCCUGACCGAGGGUACUUGAAGAAAAAGCAUCGGCUAACUCCGUGCCAGCAGCCGCGGUAAUACGGAGGAUGCGAGCGGUAUCCGGAUUUAUUGGGUUUAAAGGGUUCGAAGGCGGAGGUGCAAGUCAGCGGUCAAAUUGCGGGGCUCAACCCCGUAAUGCCGUUGAAACUGCAUCCCUUGAGUGCGCGAGAAGUAUGCGGAAUGCGUGGUGUAGCGGUGAAAUGCAUAGAUAUCACGCAGAACCCCGAUUGCGAAGGCAGCAUACCGGUGCACAACUGACGCUCAGGCACGAAAGCGUGGGUAUCGAACAGGAUUAGAUACCCCAGUAGUC